rnacentral:misc_RNA from 1 species
CAACAACGCACGAGACAAAGGGCCUCACGCUUUCCACAUCGACACAAAAACCAACCGCCGCCACCUCCCUCCGCUCGCGCUAGCUGUGUGCGUUCCUUGCCUGCCACAACUCCAGCACUUGGAGUCUUCGACGACGACGAUGACGACGACGGCAGGGGAGGAGAAAGAGAAACAGGCGGGCGGGUCAUCCAUGGAGACGGAGGAGGAGACGACGCCCAAGGCGAAGAAGCGGCCGCAGUCGCUACUCGGGAGCCUGCGGGAGGCGAUCACCAAGGUCCGGUUCCUGCUCUCCUCCAGCGCGACGCGGUGGAUGCUGCUCAGGUCCCUGGCCCGCGGCGGCGGCAGCGGCGGCGCCCCGGCGCGGCGCCUCAGCUUCGACGCGCGACCGGGCCUGCUCGACACCAUCGCCGCGUCGCCGACCUCCUCCUGCAGCUCCAGGACCUCCAGGUCGGCCAGCCUGGGCACGGCGACCACCCGGACCCUGUCGCGGGCCAGCAGCGCCGCGUCGCCGGAGGCCCUGACGAGGGCCUCGUCGUCGUCCGGCGGCCGCUCCCCGGCGUCGUCGGCCGGGGACGACGACGUCGACCAGCGCGCCGAGCUCUUCAUCGCCAACUUCUACAGGCAGCUGCGGAUGGAGCGCCAGGUCUCGCUGCAGCUGCGGUACGUCAGGGGGAACAGCUGGGACAGGACCCCUGGCGCAACUCCUUCUCCUGCUUCUUCCAGGGGAUGAUCCGUAGAUUGCGUAGCGAAAUAAGAAUUUGCAAGGUAGAGAUCCUUUCCUUUCAGAGCGCGCGGUGACGCGAUUUAGAUGGGUAUCCUCUUUUUUUUUCCUCCAUCGUUUCUGCACAUUCUUUUUUUUUUGGGUGCUGAAUAGUACUGUACAGUUUAUGAUUUGCUUGGACUCAUGAUCGAGAGUGUAAUAAAUACAAAAAAAAAGAGAGAGAGAUUGGGAUUACAGUCUGUAAUCAGGUGUUCGUUUUGACUUUCGUUAUGUGAACCAAGAGGAAAAGGGGAAGCACAUUCUGA